rnacentral:rRNA from 1 species
CCAAUAGCGUAUAUUAAAGUUGUUGCAGUUAAAAAGCUCGUAGUUGAAUUUUAGGCCUGGCCGGACGGUCCGUCUCUGGCGAGUACUGUUCUGUCGUCGGGUCUAUCCUUCUGGUGAGCCGUUAUGUUCUUAAUUGGGCGUGUCGGGGAGCCAGGACCAUUACCUUGAAAAAAUUAGAGUGUUUAAAGCAGGCUUUUGCUUGAAUAGAUUAGCAUGGAAUAAUAGAAUAGGACGUUGUGGUUCUAUUUUGUUGGUUCAAGGACCACCGUAAUGAUUAAUAGGGAUAGUUGGGGGCAUUAGUAUUCAAUUGUCAGAGGUGAAAUUCUUGGAUUUAUUGAAGACUAACUACUGCGAAAGCAUUUGCCAAGGAUGUUUUCAUUAAUCAAGAACGAAAGUUAGGGGAUCGAAGACGAUCAGAUACCGUCGUAGUCUUAACCAUAAACUAUGCCGACUAGGAAUCGGGCGACGUUAUUUUUACGACUCGCUCGGCGCCUUAUG